rnacentral:rRNA from 1 species
GAUGAACGCUGGCGGCGUGCCUAAUACAUGCAAGUCGAGCGAACGGACGAGAAGCUUGCUUCUCUGAUGUUAGCGGCGGACGGGUGAGUAACACGUGGAUAACCUACCUAUAAGACUGGGAUAACUUCGGGAAACCGGAGCUAAUACCGGAUGAUAUUUUGAACCGCAUGGUUCAAAAGUGAAAGACGGUCUUGCUGUCACUUAUAGAUGGAUCCGCGCUGCAUUAGCUAGUUGGUAAGGUAACGGCUUACCAAGGCAACGAUGCAUAGCCGACCUGAGAGGGUGAUCGGCCACACUGGAGCUGAGACACGGUCCAGACUCCUACGGGAGGCAGCAGUAGGGAAUCUUCCGCAAUGGGCGAAAGCCUGACGGAGCAACGCCGCGUGAGUGAUGAAGGUCUUCGGAUCGUAAAACGCUGUUAUUAGGGAAGAACAUAUGUGUAAGUAACUGUGCACAUCUUGACGGUACCUAAUCAGAAAGCCACGGCUAACUACGU